rnacentral:rRNA from 1 species
AUUGAACGCUGGCGGCAUGCUUUACACAUGCAAGUCGAACGGUAACAGGCCGCAAGGUGCUGACGAGUGGCGAACGGGUGAGUAAUGCAUCGGAACGUGCCCAGUCGUGGGGGAUAACGCAGCGAAAGCUGCGCUAAUACCGCAUACGACCUGAGGGUGAAAGCGGGGGACCGUAAGGCCUCGCGCUGAUGGAGCGGCCGAUGUCGGAUUAGCUAGUUGGUGGGGUAAAGGCUUACCAAGGCAACGAUCCGUAGCUGGUCUGAGAGGACGACCAGCCACACUGGGACUGAGACACGGCCCAGACUCCUACGGGAGGCAGCAGUGGGGAAUUUUGGACAAUGGGCGCAAGCCUGAUCCAGCCAUGCCGCGUGCGGGAAGAAGGCCUUCGGGUUGUAAACCGCUUUUGUCAGGGAAGAAACGGUCUGAACUAAUACUUUGGACUAAUGACGGUACCUGAAGAAUAAGCACCGGCUAACUACGUGCCAGCCGCCGCCGUAAGAC